rnacentral:rRNA from 1 species
UUCGGGUCGUAAAGUUCUGUUGUUAGGGAAGAACAAGUACCAGAGUAACUGCUGGUACCUUGACGGUACCUAACCAGAAAGCCACGGCUAACUACGUGCCAGCAGCCGCGGUAAUACGUAGGUGGCAAGCGUUGUCCGGAAUUAUUGGGCGUAAAGCGCGCGCAGGUGGUUUCUUAAGUCUGAUGUGAAAGCCCACGGCUCAACCGUGGAGGGUCAUUGGAAACUGGGGAACUUGAGUGCAGAAGAGAGGAGCGGAAUUCCACGUGUAGCGGUGAAAUGCGUAGAGAUGUGGAGGAGCACCAGUGGCAAAGGCGGCUCUUUGGUCUGUAACUGACGCUGAGGCGCGAAAGCGUGGGGAGCGAACAGGAUUAGAUACCCUGGUAGUCCACGCCGUAAACGAUGAGUGCUAAGUGUUAGAGGGUUUCCGCCCUUUAGUGCUGCAGCAAACGCAUUAAGCACUCCGCCUGGGGAGUACGGCCGCAAGGCUGAAACUCAAAGGAAUUGACGGGGGCCCGCACAAGCGGUGGAGCAUGUGGUUUAAUUCGAAGCAACGCGAAGAACCUUACCAGGUCUUGACAUCCUCUGACACUCCUAGAAAUAGGACGUUCCCCUUCGGGGGACAGAGUGACAGGUGGUGCAUGGUUGUCGUCAGCUCGUGUCGUGAGAUGUUGGGUUAAGUCCCGCAACGAGCGCAACCCUU